AUUGAACGCUGGCGGCAUGCCUUACACAUGCAAGUCGAACGGUAGAGUAGCAAUACUUGAGAGUGGCGAACGGGUGAGUAAUAUAUCGGAACGUGCCCUGUCGUGGGGGAUAACGUAGAGAAAUUUACGCUAAUACCGCAUACGAUCUAAGGAUGAAAGCGGGGGAUUCGCAAGAACCUCGCGCGAUUGGAGCGGCUGAUAUCAGAUUAGGUUGUUGGUGAGGUAAAAGCUCACCAAGCCGACGAUCUGUAGCUGGUUUGAGAGAACGACCAGCCACACUGGGACUGAGACACGGCCCAGACUCCUACGGGAGGCAGCAGUGGGGAAUUUUGGACAAUGGGCGAAAGCCUGAUCCAGCAAUGCCGCGUGCAGGAAGAAGGCC
rnacentral:rRNA from 1 species